rnacentral:rRNA from 1 species
ACGGAAGGCAGCAGUGGGGAAUAUUGGACAAUGGGGGAAACCCUGAUGCAGCGACGCCGCGUGAAGGAUGAAGUAUUUCGGUAUGUAAACUUCUAUCAGCAGGGAAGAUAGUGACGGUACCUGACUAAGAAGCCCCGGCUAACUACGUGCCAGCAGCCGCGGUAAUACGUAGGGGGCAAGCGUUAUCCGGAUUUACUGGGUGUAAAGGGAGCGUAGGCGGCUGUGUAAGUCAGAAGUGAAAGCCCGCGGCUUAACUGCGGGACUGCUUUUGAAACUGCACGGCUUGAGUGCAGGAGAGGUAAGCGGAAUUCCUAGUGUAGCGGUGAAAUGCGUAGAUAUUAGGAGGAACACCAGUGGCGAAGGCGGCUUACUGGACUGUAAAUGACGCUGAGGCUCGAAAGCGUGGGGAGCAAACAGGAUUAGAUACCCUGGUA